AUGGGGAAGGGCGUGCGGCCGGCGCUACCCCAGAGGAAAAGCCCAGCGGAGCGGGGCUGGGCAGGAGCCGGUGGCGGCGGUGCGCUGGGCCUUCUGCCUUGGAUCCUCCGCAGUCGGCACCACUUCCCUGCUCAGAUUCGAACCCAGAUACGGCUCCCAUGGCUCCAGGGUGCCCAGUCUUGCAGCCAGCUCGCCGCCCGAACCCUGGAUGGAAGAAGCGCUCACUGGCCGCUACCUCUGCUGUUUCUGGCACCAGAUGGGCAGCUUCCGGGGACCGGCUUGCCAUCAGCAGGCACGAUGCUGUGGCCAUCCCAGUGGAACCCCUCUGCCCGGCUUUGUGUCCUGGCAUCCCCACCAGAGUGCCCCGCUGUCCUGCGCAGAUGUCAGGAGUAUCUGGAUGCCCCAUGGGCACUUCAACGGCCCAAUUCGGAGUUUUUUGUUUUGUUUUGUUUUAAGAGAUUGAGACUGUGAACCUGAACUCCCUUGAUCUCCUCCCGUUGGGCCCAGGAGGGAGCCUAAUCCAGGCCCAACCGGGCUCACUGAGAAGGUGCGGGAAGCCCCCAACGACUCCUACUCGUGUGCGGCCCUUACUGGGCCGGGACGCUGCAGUGGUCGAGCCGCUGGGUGUCUGCAACCGGGAGCUCCCCCGCCGCUGGGGGCAAUAAACGGAAUCGGUUUCCCACGCUUUCCCUCUUGAUCUCAGAACCUUUAAAAAUCCGCCAACGAAUGUCGUUGCCUGGAUGCGCUGCGUGUGACCUUCAGCCGUGUGUUCACGCGUACCCGCAGCCGUGGAGUGGCGGUCCCUUCCUGCCGCCGCAACCCCGGGGCCGCCGGUCCGCGCACACCGGCAGCAACUUCGUUACCCACAGCGCCCGCGUCCUGCGGCUCGCGCGGAACUGCGCGCGGGAAGGUGGCAGAGGGACCGCUCCAGAACGCUGCUCGCGUAGACGCUGCCUCUGUCUUCAGAUCGCAGUUCGGCCGCGCGCGGGCGGGGCCCUGGCAGCAACGAAAAUGGCGAGUCUCGUAGCCUUCCGGGCCUGAUGGCCGCAUUCCGGGAGUCGCCAGGUGGGAGUCCGCCUUCCGCGUCCCCAAACGCCCAGAGCGCGGGACAAGGGCCGGCGGCCGGGUGACCAAGCCGGUUCCCCGCAUAGGCUUGCGCCAGAAUCCAUAUUCAGCUUGCAAGGCCCCCUCCGGCCGUCUCUCCGCAGAGCGCCCUGCCCCACACUGCCGGCCCUCUUAGCUUGAAAACCAAAUUUUGCCUUUGAUCCUGAGAGAUUGAUACCCCACAGGUGAAACCGUGGAGACGGAGCUGCGGUGGGUUUCUUCUCUACGCCUCAGUUUCCCCGUCUGUGAAAUGGGACCCGGCGCGCCUGUGCUCCUCCGGGAGUUUAUUGCAGGGCUGGCUGGAGAGAAUGGCUGGGUGGAAGCCGCCAGGUGGAGGCCCAUGGUCGCCCACCCCGUGGGCCUCAUUUGCUGGGCGGGGGUCAAAGGCUUGCGAGGCAGGGAUCGCCCCAAGGAGGCUCUGGAGCCGGCCCUGCCAGUCCCUGUCUCCUCCCCUCGCUCCCCUUCCCCCGGCCUUCCCGGAACUCUCUUCGCCCGCUGGGUGGAGGAGGGGCGAGGGCCGGCUCCGCCGUCCCCGGGGUCGCUCUCCUCCCACCCCCACCGCAGAAUCUGGCCCGCCCUGGGCUUUCCUCUCAGGUCCCUUUGGGUCUCCAGAAACCCGGAGGUUUCGCGCAGACUCGAGCCUGAGAUGGCAUCAUCCAGCACCCCAAAUCCUGCGGAGGGCAGAGGGGAUUUGGGGGAGAAGG
rnacentral:lncRNA from 1 species